GAAUAUACUGGCAGCUGAGAUGACGGAGAAGAAUGGUACAUCUCCAUCUAGACAGGUGAAGGAAAUGUAUGCACAAGGAAUUGUGAACUUGUUCCCCAACCUCAGAGACCCAUUUUCCAAGAAUGGCUAUGAACAUUUUUAUGAUAGCAACAGUAGUACUGGGUAC